rnacentral:antisense_RNA from 1 species
CUUCACCGAGCCCAGCCACAGGGGCCGGUCCUGUUCCCGUUCCUGACCGUAGGUCGCCAGCAGCGCCUGCGCCUC